rnacentral:rRNA from 1 species
GUGGGGAAUAUUGGACAAUGGGCGGAAGCCUGAUCCAGCCAUGCCGCGUGUGUGAAGAAGGCCUUUUGGUUGUAAAGCACUUUAAGCGAGGAGGAGGCUCCUUUAGUUAAUACCUAAAGUGAGUGGACGUUACUCGCAGAAUAAGCACCGGCUAACUCUGUGCCAGCAGCCGCGGUAAUACAGAGGGUGCGAGCGUUAAUCGGAUUUACUGGGCGUAAAGCGUGCGUAGGCGGCCAAUUAAGUCAAAUGUGAAAUCCCCGAGCUUAACUUGGGAAUUGCAUUCGAUACUGGUUGGCUAGAGUAUGGGAGAGGAUGGUAGAAUUCCAGGUGUAGCGGUGAAAUGCGUAGAGAUCUGGAGGAAUACCGAUGGCGAAGGCAGCCAUCUGGCCUAAUACUGACACUGAGGUGCGAAAGCAUGGGGAGCAAACAGGAUUAGAAACCCUUGUAGUCC